rnacentral:rRNA from 1 species
GAGCCUGAGAAACGGCUACCACAUCCAAGGAAGGCAGCAGGCGCGCAAAUUACCCAAUCCCGACACGGGGAGGUAGUGACAAUAAAUAACAACACAGGGCUCUUUUGGGUCUUGUUAUUGGAAUGAGUACGAUUUAAAUCUCCUAACGAGGAACAAUUGGAGGGCAAGUCUGGUGCCAGCAGCCGCGGUAAUUCCAGCUCCAAUAGCGUAUAUUAAAGUUGUUGCAGUUAAAAAGCUCGUAGUUGAAUUUCAGGCCUGGCUGGACGGUCCGCCCUUCGGGUGAGUACUGUCUGUGGUCGGGUCCUACCUUCUGGCGAAGCGUCAUGGCCUUAACCGGCCGUGGCGGGGAACCAGGACUUUUACUGUGAAAAAAUUAGAGUGUUCAAAGCAGGCAAUCGCUUGGAUACAUUAGCAUGGAAUAAUGGAAUAGGACAAUGGUUCUAUUUGUUGGUUUCUAGGACCGUUGUAAUGAUUAAUAGGGAUAGUUGGGGGCAUUAGUAUUCAAUUGUCAGAGGUGAAAUUCUUGGAUUUAUUGAAGACUAACUACUGCGAAAGCAUUUGCCAAGGAUGUUUUCAUUAAUCAAGAACGAAAGUUAGGGGAUCGA